GUGCCCUUCAGAGGAUGCACCCACUUUUGGCCAUCACUGUCAGAGGGAUUUUGGUGAAUCCACAGGAGGGUGAUGAAGAUGGAGCAUCGUCCACGUCCAGAUCAUAAGCCAGUUCUGCCGAAAGAAAGGAAAGAAUUUCAAUACAGGCUUACCAACAGCCUCAGCUUUGCACUCUUCACGGCCCAAGCGCUUGUCUGCACUGCUGGGAUGCCCCAGCUUUGAUUUCUUCCUUUCGUUGAAGUAGCUUGUGAAGGUGAUGUGAUGUGAGUGACCUCAGCAGCCAACUGUCCUGUGGCCAAUGGAGCCAGAAAGAUGCCUUGGGGACAUGGAGAUGCAUAGCAACAGGCACAGAGGAAGCGGAUUCUGCAGAAGGAAGGAAGGAAGAGGAAGCAAGAGCUCCUCUUACAGGGGAUGAAACACGCAGUAAGUCACAGGAAGAAAGUGUAAGGACUCAGCUGGUCCAGGAUGUGUGCAGAGCAGGGCCCAGGACCACGGCUGCUGUGAGGCUGGCAUUCCUUAGAGCAGGCAGCAAGGUCAAGGUGGCCAAAGCCAGAGGAUCUGAUUACAGCCUGCAACACUACUUUCCAAAAGGCUAGUGCAGUUUAUAAUGCCACCAGCAAUGAUGAGGGAACCAAUAAAAGAUACUG